CUACGGGACGCACCAGUGGGGAAUAUUGCACAAUGGGCGCAAGCCUGAUGCAGCCAUGCCGCGUGUAUGAAGAAGGCCUUCGGGUUGUAAAGUACUUUAAGCGGGGAGGAAGGGAGUAAAGUUAAUACCUUUGCUCAUUGACGUUACCCGCAGAAGAAGCACCGGCAACUCCGUGCCAGCAGCCGCGGUAAUACGGAGGGUGCAAGCGUUAAUCGGAAUUACUGGGCGUAAAGCGCACGAAGGCGGUUUGUUAAGUCAGAUGUGAAAUCCCCGGGCUCAACCUGGGAACUGCAUCUGAUACUGGCAAGCUUGCGUCUCGUAGAGGGGGGUAGAAUUCCAGGUGGAGCGGUGAAAUGCGUAGAGAUCUGGAGGAAUACCGGUGGCGAAGGCGGCCCCCUGGACGAAGACUGACGCUCAGGUGCGAAAGCGUGGGUAGCAAACAGGAUUAGAUACCCGAGUAGUC
rnacentral:rRNA from 1 species